rnacentral:rRNA from 1 species
AACGCUGGCGGCGUGCCUAAUACAUGCAAGUAGAACGCUGAAGCUUGGUGCUUGCACCGAGCGGAAGAGUUGCGAACGGGUGAGUAACGCGUAGGUAACCUGCCUGGUAGCGGGGGAUAACUAUUGGAAACGAUAGCUAAUACCGCAUAACAGUAGAUGUUGCAUGACAUUUGCUUAAAAGGUGCAAUUGCAUCACUACCAGAUGGACCUGCGUUGUAUUAGCUAGUUGGUGGGGUAACGGCUCACCAAGGCGACGAUACAUAGCCGACCUGAGAGGGUGAUCGGCCACACUGGGACUGAGACACGGCCCAGACUCCUACGGGAGGCAGCAGUAGGGAAUCUUCGGCAAUGGACGGAAGUCUGACCGAGCAACGCCGCGUGAGUGAAGAAGGUUUUCGGAUCGUAAAGCUCUGUUGUAAGAGAAGAACGAGUGUGAGAGUGGAAAGUUCACACUGUGACGGUAUCUUACCAGAAAGGGACGGCUAACUACGUGCCAGCAGCCGCGGUAAUACGUAGGUCCCGAGCGUUGUCCGGAUUUAUUGGGCGUAAAGCGAGCGCAGGCGGUUAGAUAAGUCUGAAGUUAAAGGCUGUGGCUUAACCAUAGUACGCUUUGGAAACUGUUUAACUUGAGUGCAAGAGGGGAGAGUGGAAUUCCAUGUGUAGCGGUGAAAUGCGUAGAUAUAUGGAGGAACACCGGUGGCGAAAGCGGCUCUCUGGCUUGUAACUGACGCUGAGGCUCGAAAGCGUGGGGAGCAAACA